rnacentral:rRNA from 1 species
CGUGCUUAACACAUGCAAGUCGAACGGGGAUGCUUAUGGAAGGAGUGCUUGCACUUUGGAAAUGAGUAUCUUAGUGGCGGACGGGUGAGUAACGCGUGGGUGACCUGCCCCAUACCGGGGGAUACCACCUGGAAACAGGUGCUAAUACCGCAUAGGCGCUUCAGAGCGCAUAUUCGGUUCCUGAAAAAGUCUGUUGGUCUUUGAUUGACCCGCGUGUGAUUAGCCCAUCAGCAGGAUAAUGGCUUACCAAUGUGAGAAUCAGUUGCCCCCCAGAGAAGGUGGAACGCCAUCCAGAGUCUUAGACACGGCCCCAAUUCGUAAUGGAGGCCGCAGGUGGGGAAUCAUUGCACAAUGCAAGUAACCUGGAUGCAGAGACGCCUACUGAUUGUAGACGUAUUUGCGUGAGGUAACGAUCUGUCGCCAGGAGCGACACAAGACGAUUCCCGAGUAAGAAGCCCUCGGCUAACUCGUGCCAGCCGCCGCGGUAAUACGUAGGGGGCAAGCGUUUUCCGGAAUCUCUGGGUUAAAGGGAGCGCAGGCGGGUGAGCAAGCCUGAAGUGAAAAAUUGCGGGGCCUCAACCCCUGUGAGAUGCCUUCGGGAACUGGUCAAGUCUUGGAGUGGCGAGGAGAAGGUAUAGUGGAAUGUCUCUAGUGUAGCGCGUGAGAAUGCAGUAGAUAUCAGGCAGGAACACCGGUGGCGAAGGCGGCUUACUGGACCCUAACUGACGUUGAGGCUCGAAAGCGUGGGGAGCAAACAGGAUUAGAUACCCUGGUAGUCCACGCAGUAAACGAUGAUUACUAGGUGUCGGGGGGCAGAGGCCCUUCGGUGCCGCAGCAAACGCAAUAAGUAAUCCACCUGGGGAGUACGUCCGCAAGGAUGAAACCCAAAGGAAUUGACGGGGACCCGCACAAGCGGUGGAGCAUGUGGUUUAAUUUGAAGCAACGCGAAGAACCUUACCCGGCCUUGACAUCCCCCUGACAGCAUAUGUAAUGUAUGUUCCUUUUGGGGCAGGGGAGACAGGUGGUGCAUGGUUGUCGUCAGCUCGUGUCGUGAGAUGUUGGGUUAAGUCCCGCAACGAGCGCAACCCUUUCCCACAGUAGCCAGCACAAAAGGUGGGCACUCUGUGGGGACUGCCGGGGACAACCCGGAGGAAGGUGGGGAUGACGUCAAAUCAUCAUGCCCCUUAUGGCCGGGGCUACACACGUGCUACAAUGGCGUAAACAAAGGGAAGCGAGAGAGUGAUGUUAAGCGAAACUCAAAAAUAACGUCCCAGUUCGGAUUGCAGUCUGCAACUCGAUUGCAUGAAGCUGGAAUCGUUAGUAAUCGCGGAUCAGAAUGCCGCGGUGAAUACGUUCCCGG